UGAUAUAGGUAAUACAUAGGUAUUUUUUUUAAAUUAAAUUAAAUGUGAAGUACGGUGCAAGUGCAUUGUGUACACUUAAAUAAAGUUGGUUUGUAGAGGAUUAUGAUAACAACGAAUAUUAUUUAUUAUUUAAAAUAUUUUUUCUACACUACAAAUGAAUUGAUUAAGUUAUGAUUCUAUUUUAUAAAAUACGAAUGCAUUGAACAGUUUUUGGUCAGUCAUAACACAUCCAACAGAUUUUGUACUAUUAAUUAUAUUUUGUAAUUUUACUAACGGUACUGCUACACAUUUAUUUAAAAUGGACAAGAGUGAAAAAAUGAAGAACUGUACUAAUCAGUGCAAUUCUUGUCACAAAACAGCUGAACCAGAACAUCAAAGUGCUUAUCAGGGAGAUGUAUCAAAAGCUAAUUUAGAUAAACAUGGAAAUCAAAAGAAUCCAACAAAUGAAAAAUACACCGUACCCAAGAAAAACUAAAAAAUAAUACCUAUAUAAAGAAAAAAAAUUGUAAACUAGCCAUUUUUUUAGCGAUUUGUCUAAAAUUAGUAAAAUAUUUAUCUUAAAUUUGUAUACAACCAGUGGUACAACCAGGUUUAUAAACUAAAUUUUUGAAUUGUUAAAUUCAUUUUUGACAAAAAAAUAAGUACGUACUGUCAUGAAUCAUAUUUCAAUAGUGAUUGUUACAAAGUAUAUACUUACGACCAUUAGUCCAAAUUGAGUUAUAUAUUGAAAAAACUGUAAGGUCUACACUUUGUUUUAGAGCUAUGAAAAAAAAUUGGUUUUUAAAAAAUAA